GUUAGUAUGGACUUGGACUUCUGUCUCCCUCACCCUCUGGGACUUACCGGUGUGCCUACAAUCUCUACCUGUGACCUGGGGGCCAAAGAUUCUGGCUCCAUUUAGUUCGUUUGUUUGUUUUCUAUACUGGGGACUGAACCAGGUAUAGGAAAAGAGAGAGAGAGAGAGAGAGAGAGAGAGAGAGAGAGAGAGAGAGAGAGAGAAUGUCUCAACUAAGAUGCCCAACCUGGCCUUGAACUUGAGACCCUCCCACCUCAGCCUCCUGAGUAGCUGGGAUUAUGGGUAUGUGCCACUGCACCAGGCUUCUGGCAGAAGGUGUCCCAGAGUCCUCCUCCCCAAAGAAAGGAGUUGUUCCUUGGGGCUUCCCUCCACACAGGCACCAGAAGAUGCCUGCAGACCUGGCUCCUCCCGCUCCCCCCGCACCCCGCCCACCUUGCUGAAUUCCUCUGCAGGCCUGUUCUACACCAUGGUUGCAGCGUGGCCGUUUAUGGAGCUACUCACUUACCUUUGCUUUCAUGAUCCUCACAGAGCACCUAGCACACACCCACCACUCCUGCUUGCAGGUGAUCGGACGAUGAUAACGCCAAUCUACCCAACCCUGCCCAACGCAGCCUUCUCACCUAGCAUUGUACUAACUGCUUUUCUCUCUCUCCCUCCCACUCUCCCUCCC
rnacentral:lncRNA from 1 species